rnacentral:rRNA from 1 species
ACUUCGGGAAACCGGAGCUAAUACCGGAUAAUAUAUUGAACCGCAUGGUUCAAUAGUGAAAGACGGUUUUGCUGUCACUUAUAGAUGGAUCCGCGCCGCAUUAGCUAGUUGGUAAGGUAACGGCUUACCAAGGCAACGAUGCGUAGCCGACCUGAGAGGGUGAUCGGCCACACUGGAACUGAGACACGGUCCAGACUCCUACGGGAGGCAGCAGUAGGGAAUCUUCCGCAAUGGGCGAAAGCCUGACGGAGCAACGCCGCGUGAGUGAUGAAGGUCUUCGGAUCGUAAAACUCUGUUAUUAGGGAAGAACAAAUGUGUAAGUAACUAUGCACGUCUUGACGGUACCUAAUCAGAAAGCCACGGCUAACUACGUGCCAGCAGCCGCGGUAAUACGUAGGUGGCAAGCGUUAUCCGGAAUUAUUGGGCGUAAAGCGCG